UGGGGAAUCUUCCGCAAUGGGCGAAAGCCUGACGGAGCAACGCCGCGUGAGUGAAGACGGCCUUCGGGUUGUAAAGCUCUGUUAUAUGGGACGAACGGGUGUAUGGUCAAUACCCAUACGCCGUGACGGUACCGUAAGAGAAAGCCACGGCUAACUACGUGCCAGCAGCCGCGGUAAUACGUAGGUGGCAAGCAUUGUCCGGAAUCAUUGGGCGUAAAGGGCGCGCAGGCGGUUCGGUAAGUCGGUCUUAAAAGUGCGGGGCUUAACCCCGUGAUGGGAUUGAAACUGCCGGACUGGAGUGUCGGAGAGGAAAGCAGAAUUCCUAGUGUAGCGGUGAAAUGCGUAGAUAUUAGGAGGAAUACCAGUGGCGAAAGCGGCUUUCUGGACGACAACUGACGCUGAGGCGCGAAAGCCAGGGGAGCAAACGGGAUUAGAUACCCCGGUA
rnacentral:rRNA from 1 species